GCGAAGAACCUUACCUACUCUUGACAUCCAGAGAACUUAGCAGAGAUGCUUUGGUGCCUUCGGGAACUCUGAGACAGGUGCUGCAUGGCUGUCGUCAGCUCGUGUUGUGAAAUGUUGGGUUAAGUCCCGCAACGAGCGCAACCCUUAUCCUUGUUUGCCAGCGAGUAAUGUCGGGAACUCCAGGGAGACUGCCGGUGAUAAACCGGAGGAAGGUGGGGACGACGUCAAGUCAUCAUGGCCCUUACGAGUAGGGCUACACACGUGCUACAAUGGCGCAUACAGAGGGCGGCCAACUUGCGAAAGUGAGCGAAUCCCAAAAAGUGMGUCGKAGUCCGGAUUGGAGUCUGCAACUCGACUCCAUGAAGUCGGAAUCGCUAG
rnacentral:rRNA from 1 species